CUUGCAGCAAGCCAUGUUGGGGACUCAGAUUAACCAUUUGGUUAAAGAUGGAAACUUGCGCCCUGGUUCUAUUGUCCAGUUGAUUCAGUACACUUGCACCACUGUUCAAGGCCGCAUGAUUAUAAUCAUCCUGGAAUUGGUUGUGAUAGUUGAAGAAUGUGCUCUCAUAGGACAUCCUGUGUCAGCACAAAAAUCUUUGGGCCCUUCACAAUCCUCUGCUGAUCAACCAGUUAAAAACCCUGCAAAUCCUCAAUCAUUUGGUAGUAGUUCACUUGUGGGUGGGGUGGUUGAAAACCCAAAUUUGGCUGGGGCAUCUCUACCAAGCCCUAGAAUGAAUCAGUUGCAUGGUAGUUCUCAUUCCAUCAAUUUUGACUUAGGAAGACAUGGGGCACCAAAUGUACCUCCGUCUCAUCCGAAAGCAGAACCUGGUGCUGGGCUCCCUGGAUCAGCUCCAAUUAAUGGUUUAUGCAGUGAUCAGCACGCAGGUUUUCGCAACCCUAGACCAGAAAUUUCGCAGACUCCUAGCACUUAUUCCUAUGCCUCUCGCUCAGCAUAUCAACAGCCACCUCCAAUGUACUCUAAUAGAGGACCAGUGGCUAAGAAUGAAGCUCCCCCUAGGAUAAUGCCAAUUUCAGCACUCAAUCCAUAUCAGGGUAGGUGGACAAUUAAGGCAAGGGUGACAGCAAAAGGAGAGCUUAGGCACUAUAAUAAUCCCCGUGGUGAUGGAAAAGUGUUCUCUUUUGAUCUUCUUGAUUCUGAUGGAGGAGAAAUUAGAGUAACCUGCUUUAAUGCUGUGGCUGACCAAUUUUAUCACCAGAUUGAAGCUGGGAAAGUUUAUUUAAUUUCCAGGGGAAAUCUAAAACCUGCUCAAAAGAAUUUCAACCACCNNNNNNNUUUCUGGAGAGCACUUCAAUCGUUCAACCGUGUUUUGAGGAUGACAGUGCAAUUCCAAGGCAGCAAUUUCAUUUCCGUUCUAUAAGUGAAAUUGAGGGCAUGGAUAAUAACAGUGUUGUGGAUAUAAUUGGUAUGGUUUCUUCUAUUACUCCUUCAUCUUCAAUAAUGAGGAAAAAUGGUACAGAAACUCAGAAGAGAGCCCUCCAGCUGAAAGAUAUGUCAGGCCGAAGUGUUGAAUUAACAUUAUGGGGAAAUUUCUGCAAUGCAGAAGGACAAAGGCUGCAGAAUAUGUGUGACUCAGGUGGUUUCCCUGUUCUAGCUGUUAAAUCUGGUAGGGUGAGCGAUUUUAAUGGGAAGGCAGUUGGAACUAUCUCUACCAGUCAGCUAUUUAUAGAUCCUGAUUUUCCAGAGGCUUGCAGGCUGAAGGAAUGGUUUGAAAAGGAAGGGAGAAACAUGCCUUCCCUGUCUAUUUCAAGGGAAAUGUCAGGUGUGGGUAGGAUAGAUGUUCCAAAAACCAUUUCUCAAAUUAAGGAUGAGAGGCUAAAAAAAAAAAAAAAAAAAAAAAAACAGAUUGGAUUACUGUCAGUGCAACUGUGAUAUUCAUUAAGGCUGACAAUUUCUGCUAUACAGCUUGCCCCCUCAUGUCUGGUGACCGACCAUGCAACAAGAAGGUAACAAAUAAUGGAGAUGGGAAGUGGAGGUGUGAGAAGUGCGAUCAGUCUAUGGAUGAAUGUGACUACAGGUACAUACUCCAGUUUCAAAUACAGGAUCAUUCUGGCAUUACAUGGGUGACGGCAUUUCAAGAGAGUGGUGAAGAGAUAAUGGGUAUAUCUGCAAAACAACUGUACUUCUUGAAAUAUGAAGAACAAGAUGAUGAGACUUUUUCUAAAAUUAUUCGGCAAGUUCUAUUUAGUAAAUUUGUAUUCAAGUUGAAAGUGAAGGAGGAGACAUUCAGUGAUGAACAGCGUGUAAAGUCCUCUGUGGUAAGAGCAGAAAAGGUGAAUCACUCAUCCCAGUCCAAAUUUCUUCUGGAGAUGAUGGAAAAGUUCAAAUCAGGAAACUCUGCUCCUUUUGCCUCUAAAACUGAGUCAAGUUAUCCUAUCUCGGGAGCAAGCAACACUGGUAUUGAAAGUAGUGGUAGACAAGGUGGACCACUGGGAUCUAAUCAAGGUGGGAACAACAGUUAUACUGCUAGAGAUUUUGGUUCACUGCCUAAUGAAGUUGGUCAUUACGGAAACCAGUAUAGUUCAAGGUUUCCUACAGCUAAUUCUUCUUGUAACAGCUGUGGUGCUACCAGUCAUACCUCAUCAAAUUGCCCUAGCAUCAUGAAUGCUCCCAGGCAGCCUAUGAGAGGGGCCUAUGCCAAUAAUGCAUCUUCUAUGGCCAAUGGUGGUGGUCGUGGUGCUGUAGGUGAAUGCUAUAAAUGCCAUCAAACUGGGCAUUGGGCAAGGGACUGCCCUGGGUCAAGUGCUGUUCCUCCAGCUUAUGGUAGCACUGCCAUUUCCUCUGGAAGGUUUGGGGGUAUUUCAAAGCCACAGUUUAGUGGUUUCUAAAGUCCCUGGAAAGAGAAGGCAGAAGUAUGUAAAAUAAGGUGCCUGCUUUGUGAGAUAUAAUGGAUAGUGCUUCUAGUUUUGAAUUUGGCGUUUGGGUGAGGGAUUGUGAUCUUUCUGUGUACAGAAUUUUGGGGCCAUAAAUAGCAUCUUUUAUAGUUUAAUACCGUGCAAAGAAUGCUAUGGGUCAAAGCUACUCUGUCUCGAAGUAGAUCUUUUAUUUUUUUAUUUUAUUUUUUUGGUUCCUUCCCCAACAUUCCUUAUCCUUUUCAAAUAUUUCCUUUAUUAUGUUGUGCAUUCGGAUUGCAGACUG
rnacentral:misc_RNA from 1 species